AGUUGGUCAGGAAGCGGGGCUGGGCUGUAAAACCUCAGGCCCACCCUCAGUGAUUCACUCCCUCCAGUGAGGCUCCACCUCCUAAAGGUUCCACCAUCUUUUAUAAUAGCACCGCUAUGUGAGGUCAAGCACUGAAACACAUGAACUUACGAGGUUACACUUUACAUUCAAACCAUCACAGCUACCUUAUGAAUUCCAGCGCCGAGUCACACCAAAACUCCCAGUGAAGUUACCCAGUGUCUUGGUUUGGGUGAAGUUCCCACUGCUAGAGCAAUGCCAUCAUAUUUGACUGGGCACAUAUCAUCCUGUAAGAAUUAUAUGGAGCGGAGCUGAAUCAGACUGGUCCUAGUGGUCAUAUUCAAACAAACUAAUGAAGUGCCAUCCAGGCCAUUGACCAACAUUCUAAUUCUUCUAAUGGCGAGAAAUGGUUGAUUGCCAUUGCUGCCUUGGAGUUAGCUGAACCAUAAGAUGUUCUUUCACCAGCACACUGUCGAAAACACCAUCAGAUGACUGGAUCCUUUGUUAUAUGUACAAUGAGAAUGCACUCUGCUUCUGCAAUCCUGAUGUGUAAUUGUGGCACAUAUGUGAUGGAGGAAAUAUGACAGUUUCACAGAAUGUUCUUCUUCUGGACAUGGCCUCUGGUGAGCAACAUGUGGAGUCCGAAGUUCCAGUGCUCCAGAAGAGGAACAAGAACAAUGGACACCAGAAGGACACAGGUGGGCUGAUGAUAAAGGAAAUGACCAAUAAGUCAGUAUUCCUCACACUCUGCUUAAAAGAUAAGCACUUUCAAGUUGAUAGACUUAGUCGUUGCCUUUCCAAAUAUAUA